GUGAGGAAUAUUGCGCAAUGGAGGCAACUCUGACGCAGCCAUGCCGCGUGCAGGAAGAAGGCGCUACGCGUUGUAAACUGCUUUUAACCGGGAAGAAACCCCAGGACGUGUCCUGGGUUGACGGUACCGGAGGAAUAAGCACCGGCUAACUUCGUGCCAGCAGCCGCGGGAAUACGAAGGGUGCAAGCGUUAUCCGGAUUCAUUGGGUUUAAAGGGUGCGUAGGCGGAGCGUUAAGUCAGUGGUGAAAUCCUGCAGCUUAACUGUAGACUGGCCAUUGAUACUGGCGCUCUUGAGUGCGCUUGAAGUGGGCGGAAUGUGCCGUGUAGCGGUGAAAUGCUUAGAUAUGGCACAGAACACCAAUUGCGAAGGCAGCUCACUAAGGCGAUACUGACGCUGAGGCACGAAAGCGUGGGGAUCGAACAGGAUUAGAUACCCCUGUAGUCC
rnacentral:rRNA from 1 species